rnacentral:rRNA from 1 species
UAAGGAAUAUUGGACAAUGGGCGCAAGCUUGAUCCAGCCAUCCCGCGUGCAGGAUGACGGCCCUCUGGGUUGUAAACUGCUUUUGUCAGGGAAGAAACUUCCGAAUUCACUUCGGAACUGACGGUACCUGAAGAAUAAGCACCGGCUAACUCC